rnacentral:rRNA from 1 species
UCAUCGAAUCUUUGAACGCACAUUGCGCCCGCCAGUAUUCUGGCGGGCAUGCCUGUUCGAGCGUCAUUUCAACCCUCAAGCCCCCGGGCUUGGUGUUGGGGCUCGGCCCGUCCCUAGCGGCGCGCCGUCCCCGAAAUCUAGUGGCGGUCACGCUGUACUCCUCUGCGUAAUAAUCUAACCUCGCAACGGGACAAAGCGCGGCCACGCCGUUAAACCCCCAACUUCUGAAGGUUGACCUCGGAUCAGGUAGGAAUACCCGCUGAACUUAAGCAUAUCAAUAAGCGGAGGAAAAGAAACCAACAGGGAUUGCCCCAGUAACGGCGAGUGAAGCGGCAACAGCUCAAAUUUGAAAUCUGGCCCCCGGGUCCGAGUUGUAAUUUGUAGAGGAUGCUUUUGGUGAGGUACCUUCCGAGUUCCCUGGAACGGGACGCCAUAGAGGGUGAGAGCCCCGUCUGGUCGGAUACCGAUCCUCUGUAAAGCUCCUUCGACGAGUCGAGUAGUUUGGGAAUGCUGCUCUAAAUGGGAGGUAUAUGUCUUCUAAAGCUAAAUAUAGGCCAGAGACCGAUAGCGCACAAGUAGAGUGAUCGAAAGAUGAAAAGCACUUUGAAAAGAGGGUUAAACAGUACGUGAAAUUGUUGAAAGGGAAGCGCUUGUGACCAGACUUGGGCCCGGUUAAUCAUCCAGCGUUCUCGCUGGUGCACUUGGCCGGCCCAGGCCAGCAUCAGUUCGGCGUGGGGGAUAAAGGCGGCGGGAAU